GCCCAUUAAAGCGGUACGCGAGCUGGGUUCAGAACGUCGUGAGACAGUUCGGUCCCUAUCCGGCGCGGGCGGAGGAUAUUUGAGAGGAGCUGUCCUUAGUACGAGAGGACCGGGAUGGACGGACCACUGGUGUAUCUGCUGUCGACCAACGGCAUGGCAGAGUAGCCAAGUCCGGAAGGGAUAAACGCUGAAGGCAUCUAAGCGUGAAGCCCCCCUCAAGAUGAGAUAUCCCUCACAUAAGUGAGUAAGAUCCCUUGAAGAGUACAAGGUAGAUAGGGCAGAGGUGGAAGCAUGGUAACAUGUGGAGCUGACUGUUACUAAUCGAUCGAGGGCUUGACCAAAUA
rnacentral:rRNA from 1 species